GGGUCCCAGAGAGACGGGGCGGGGGGCUCCUUCCCACUCUGCAGGGAGCUGAACAUGGGUGGCCUCAGUCCCAGGUCACCCCACUGCUCAGAGGCUCAGAGGGUUUCCACGCAGGACCACAGCAUCUAUAAGGGGCCACUCAGACCCUCUGUCUCUCUGCCUGACCACACCGUGGCUCAGAGGAACUGCUGGCAUCCUGCCUGGUGUACCCCAGGCUGGAUGAGCCAGGAAAGCUGAGGCAGGCAGAACCGAGUGAGGUCCCCGCUCUGUCACCCACUAGUUGCGUGAGCUCGGGUCGGAACACAGGCUCCCAGAAGCUCUGUUUUCUCAAGUUGUCAAGAGAACGCCCACUCUGCCGGUGGGAGCUGGUGGCGGGAGUAACAGUGACAGAGUUGGGGCUCCCAUGAGGCCAAGGUCCAUAGGCCUGGGGGCUCAGAGACCCGUCCAUCUGGACGCAUCGCACAGCUGCCAGGGGCCCGCCCACCCAGCCCGGCUUCCCGGCAUCUGGUUUCUAUUUUCCCCACAUGGGAGUCACAGAGCCUGGGGCCUAGCGCUUGGGUAACAUCUGGGCUUCUCAGAAACACUCACAUUCCUUGGGCCAAUCAAACCCCAAAGAGAGGGUGCGGUGGGCACACGGCCGGUCCAUGGAAAGAGAUCUCAUCUCCGUUCAGGGCCUCCGGGCUUCGGGGACAUCUCGGCGCCCACCUUAUGGAGCUGUGGCCGGAGGGCCUGGGAUCAGGACAGGCUGGGAGCAAGAUGCAGCCAUCCCUUCUCUGAGCCGGGUCUGGGGUCCCAGGGUGCCAGCCACAGCCAGGCAGGAGGGCCCAGAGCAAGGCCCUCCCUGGUGCCCGGCCUCUGGAGUCCCCACCCUUGGGAGGCAGAGACCCUUGUGUUCAGCAGGGCGACCUCCGUGGUCUGGGGGUCCUGGGCUGUCGCCAGUUCCCUCCCCAAACAUGAGACCCCAAAAGCAUCAGGAUCUGAGGGUUGUUUCAGAGCUGGGGAAGGGGUUGGGUGCCCUUUAGCCCUCAGGAGAGCAGGCCCAGGAGAGCAGCCCUCAGGGGUGAGGAGGGCGCAGGAGGCCAGCGCCGGGCCAUCAGCCUCUGCACCCCAGGGUCUGAACUCAGGGUCUGAGCGAGUCCAAGGCCGCCCUGCAGUGAGAGGGAGGGCCGGGGUUGGCAGAGCAGGGCGGUGGUGGCUCUGGAGAUGGCCGUGGGGGAACCAGGGGCAGCCUGGCUUUGGGACCCCAGGCCCCAAGGUCACAGAGACCUGCCGCCUGCCAGGUCCCGAUACACAAGCAGUUGUCACAGCCUAGCUGCUGGGGGGCCCUGGGAGGGAGGCGGGGGCUGCACAGUGUGGGGCAGUACAGGGUGUGGGACACGGUUUCUGGAGUCUCUGCUCCCCCAGCCUCGUCCCUACACAAUCGCAGGCCCCCUCCUCCCCUCCCACUGAAGCUCAGCCAGGUUGACAGCUGGGUGCCCCUGGACCCUGAGGCUGCUGAGGCUCCCACGGACGCCAUGGAGGGAUGGUCAGGGGUGCCCUCUGCUGCCCAUGGGCACCAGUGCAGGAUGGUCCCCAGAGGGGCCCAGAGCCAGUCACUGUCCCCUGUCCGUGGCCUCUCCACUGGCCCCAGGUGCCUGGGUCCACCCAUGCCUGGGAGACUCCGGCAAGGCUUCCGCUGGGGUCAGUGGAUUUGCAACCCCCUCUCUGUCCUGACCCUGCCGGAAGCUGGUGAGGGGGCAGCUGGACAGGGAGGCCCCCAGGCCUGCAGGCAGCAGCUUCCCUCGGCUGCAGGGACUGGGUGGGAGCCAGAGCCUGGCCCAGAGGCUGUGGGGUGCAGGAGGUGAGAGGAGCCCUAGGCCAGGGUCACAGCCCGGGUGGGAGGCGUCAGGGCCCCCGUGAUUAUUGCUUUCAGCAAUCUGAAAGACUGUGAGGUCCUGCUCCAGCCAGUGGAUGCAGGACACAGCGGUCAGGACGACCCAAAUGCGUAAGGGAUAAUUAUGUCUGCCUUUCCUUUGUUCGCGGGUGCUCUCGCCGUCGUUCCAUCUGCAAUCAAGCACCCUUUCUGAAGAAAGUGAAGAUGGCCUUGCUGAGAGAUCUUCUGUCUCUGUGCUGACUUUUCUUCACGGCACCGAUUAUCUAUUUCUAACAAUUUUGCUAUUUCUAACAGCGCUUGUAGUCCCAGCUACUUAGGAGGCUGAGGUGGGAGGGUCACUUGAGUCUAGGAAUUUGAGGCUUCAGUGAGCUAUGACAGCACUACUGCACUCCAGCCUGGGGAAGACAGCAAGACCUUCUUUCAAAAAAAUAAAAAAAAUAAAAAAAA
rnacentral:lncRNA from 1 species